CAGAUUUUUGUCAUGCAUUUGUAGUAAAUACUUUAUCAUCUUAUUAUAGAAGAAAUGGAUGAGUCAAAGUGCAAAUAUAUGAAAUCAUAGCAUUUUUAUUUUAUACACAUGGUGGCACAAGAAGAAGCUUAACACAUGUCAGUGAUACGCCUCAUGCUCAUGAACCUCUGGCCGCUCAUGCCCAUAUCCCUGAAGCUCCUGUACUCUCCGGGCCUCAUGCUCAUGAACCUCUGGCCGCUCAUCAUCUCCCUGAAGCUCCUGUACUCUCCGGGCCUCAUGUACAUCAUCCUGCCUCUGUACUGGGGCUGCUCGUACAUCAGCCAGUGUCCGUCCAUCACGUUGCAGGACUGGCAGUCGGACAUGCGGUAACGCUCCUGGAUGUUGUCACAGUCGUCCAUCAGCUCAUUGGACUGACCACCGAAGUUCUCCCUCUCGUAGAUCUUCAUCCUGAACUGGCCUCUGUGCUGUGAUGCAGAUAUUCAAAGAAAAAUGUGAGCAGACUCAUAACCUAAAUGAACAUACACACUAAACACAGAUGUAGAAGUUGAACUGGGAGUGAGUAAUGUUUGAACUAUCGGUUACUUCUCUUACAAAGGGGAUCAUUCUGCAGGACCUGAUGUUGUCAAACAUCAUUCCCAUGCUCUGCAUGCGGUGCAUGUCGUUGUACUCUCCCCUUCUCAUGAAGAACUGCUGGCCCAUGUAGUUGUUCCUCUCAUAGAGCAUGAAGCAGCCGCUGUCCACCCUGCAGGACUGGCACCUGCUCAUGUAGGAGGACAUGUCGGAGCAGUCGCUCAUGCACUCAUAGGAGCGACCCUGGAAGUUCUUCUCCUCGUAGAAAGUGAUCUGAAACAAAACAUUGGUCAACCAUUGUAGAUAAUACUGGAUUAUUUUAUCCAUUACUGAUUAGUAUUUAUUUGAAAGAAAAUCAGCCAUCAGUUAAUAUACUAUCAUUAAACCAUGUAUAUUAAAUAAUGUAAUAUAUAAUGUAUAACUCUUAUAUAUUUAUAUAAAUACAUUACAUUAAAAAAUGUUUUACCUUGCCCAUCAUGAUUGCUUUGGUUACUCAGGUCUGUCAGAGAUCGGUUGGUGAACUGAUACCCUACCUGUGUCAGACUCAUACUUUUAUACCAGAACAGACUCAAACACUGCCUGACACCCCUAUUUUGCAAACAACUGACCAAGCAACAUGCUAUAGAAAUCCAUACAGAGGCUUACUCAUGCUCUA
rnacentral:lncRNA from 1 species